GGAGCGCAGGAUCCUGGGCUGCGUCCCCUCGGUGCCCUGGGAUCCGGGGCCUGUGCUGCUGGAAUCGCGCUCCCGGGCCACCGUUCC
rnacentral:pre_miRNA from 1 species